UACGUAGGGGGCGAGCGUUGUCCGGAAUCACUGGGCGUAAAGCGCGCGUAGGCGGACUUUUAAGUCAGAUGUGAAAACUCUGGGCUCAACCUGGAGACUGCAUCUGAAACUGGAAGUCUUGAGUGUAGAAGAGGAGAGUGGAAUUCCUAGUGUAGCGGUGAAAUGCGUAGAUAUUAGGAGGAACACCAGUGGCGAAGGCGACUCUCUGGUCUAUAACUGACGCUGAGGUGCGAAAGCGUGGGGAGCAAACAGG
rnacentral:rRNA from 1 species